rnacentral:lncRNA from 1 species
GUCCAUUUUCAAUAGUCUUAAAAAUCACUUCGAUAACACCUUAACAGAAAUAGUUACGAUGAGUGAAUUGAAGGUAUCUGAUAAGGAGUCAAAGGCCACCAUCUCUAUAUGCUUGGAAAGUGGCAAUCCUCCAAGUGAUUCUUCAUCUCAAUCUUCAUUUUCUUCUUUAAAUUUAUUUACCUUGUAUGUGCGUUGUGCCCGUAUUCUUCUCG